rnacentral:rRNA from 1 species
GUUUCCGUAGGUGAACCUGCGGAAGGAUCAUUAUUGAAUAAACUUGGUUAGGUUGUUGCUGGCUCUUAGGAGUAUGUGCACACCGAAUCCAUCUUUAACCACCUGUGCACCUUGCGUAGAUCUGAAAAAUUUCGAGAAUUCUCGGCUUGGGAAUUGCUGUGCGGUGAGCCAGCUGUUCUUGUAUUCAGGUCUAUGUUCUUACAUACCCCAUAUGAAUGUAUAUGAAUGUUGCAAUUGGCCUUGUGCCUUUAAAACAAAUACAACUUUCAACAACGGAUCUCUUGGCUCUCGCAUCGAUGAAGAACGCAGCGAAAUGCGAUAAGUAAUGUGAAUUGCAGAAUUCAGUGAAUCAUCGAAUCUUUGAACGCACCUUGCGCCUCCUUGGUAUUCCGAGGAGCAUGCCUGUUUGAGUGUCAUGAAAUUCUCAACCUCUCUGGUUUUCUGACUAGUUAGGCUUGGAUCAUGGAAGUUGUUGGCUCAAUUUGAAUCAACUCUUCUUAAAUAUAUUAGCAAAGGCUUUUGCUGACCAUCAUUGGUAUGAUAAUUAUCUAUAUCAUUGGUAGCCAGUUCCCUUCACAGGGGGUCUUGCUUCUAAUCGUCGUUUCGACAACUUGACAACUUUGACCUCAAAUCAGGUAGGACUACCCGCUGAACUUAAGCAUA